CCCUACUUAACAUGUAAAGCUUUAAUCAUGAGCAUAGAUCUAGAACUCGACUUUUAUUACACAUUAAUCUAGAAAUUGAUUUAUAACUAAAAGUAUAACAAAACAGCAUGCUUAAUCACAUCUUUUCCAGAUCCAACCUUCAAAGUACAUCCAAUUGAUCUUCCUAGUGCCAAUGAAAUACCUGAAGAAUGAAAGGAAACAAGGAGUAAGUGAGAUUCAGUAGAUGAUCCAGGCAGCAGCAACACCACAAGACUCAAAGCAAUCUGUCUAUUUUAACCCCAAAAUGAUGGGAAAAUAGUCCCAGUUCACUCUCAAUCGAACAGAAGUCCAAGAAUGAAGCUAGCCAAGUAGUUACCAACCCCAAAUUCAAGCCAUUGUACUCCAAAUGAACCAGAACCCUUAGAAACCCUUAGUACUUGAAAAACAAACUCAUAAAUCAAAGAAAAGGAUCGCCAACUUAAUGGAACAGUGAAAAAUAUGUAGACCCUAAAAUAUCCCUCACUAUCUGAUUUUUUUUUGCUUUUUCUCCCUUCCUCUUGCCUUGAAAGGCAAGAAUGAUAUCUUAUAUAUGCUAACAAUAGGGAAAAACUUCAGAUUUCAUUUUUCACCCUUUUGCCCCCCUUUAAUUCUUGUUUUAGCCUAGGGGUCUCUGGAUUCUUAACUUGUUCCCCAAGUUCUGUUACUUAAAAGUCUGAAAUUCCAAUCCUAGCCCACCAUAGAAGCUUAUCAUUUUGUUGUGAAAGAUUCCCUAACCAUCAGAUAGCUAAACUACCCUCCUAGACCCUGAUAUUUACCCUCAGCUGUCCACACUCAAAUAGGUCAGCCCGAACCAAAAAUAGAGCUCUAAAGUUGUUGCUGGGAUGGGUUAAAACAAUCAAAGGCCCAAUAUACUCCCCUAUUACAAAACUCCCAUAACUAUGACCCAAAACCUAUGACCCAAAACCUUCACACAAAAAUAAACAAACAAUAACAGAAAAUGAUGAACCAGCCAAACUAAAACAAAAUUAAAUUAAUUUAACACCUAUUACAACAUAGUGAAGCUCAGACUAAUUAAACAUAACUCAAAGAAAGCAUACCAAGUUCAAAGAAAUUUAGUUAUCAAAAGUGCCAAUGAUAGACCUAAAUCGGUGCUAAUCGUUAUACUAACGUGACUCAAUCUUAGAAACGCUCUUGGAACAGUAAGGGAGAAAUAGAUAAACAAAAGGUGAGAAUGAAGGAGGCAGUGACGAGACAACAAAAGAAACAAGGGAAAAGUGGAAAUAGAAGCAAAAAAUAGGAAGAAGAAAAACAAUACGAAGAGAGAUACCUAACUUAAGAACAAUUCAGGCUACUUGAACCCUAGUUUCUCUGAUUUGAACCAAAAGGCGUGGUAACCGACUGUUCUUGUGGGAUCAGUCGCCUUACGCUCGCCUCAAGCUCAAAUUGUAUUCAAAGAUAGGAUGGUAAAAUCCAAACCUUUGCCAUGAUGAUUUGAAGUCUGGAAGACUUAGGGGCUGGAAGUUUAGAUCUAAGAUUUGGGGUGUUUCAACUGGAUUCGAUGAAAGCUGGUCUGAAAUUGAGGAGGGGAGUCAUAGUGAGUAUAUGGUGCAAUUUUGGACAAUAUUGAAGACUUGC
rnacentral:lncRNA from 1 species